CAGGUUCUUUUGGUAAUCCUGGGCUGACUUUCAAGACACAAUCCAUGGGAAUAUGUAGGAAUGAAAGCAGAGACUUUAUUGGAUUCAUUGUUUCACCAUCUGUGAUUUGUAAAGAGCCAGGCACAUGAGAAAAUUUGUAAAGGAGAAAGAAACUUAAGAAAACAAGCAGAGGGUCAUCAAGCUAACACCUUGCCUCAUUCCAGAUGCUUAUUUACCUCACUGGAGACUUACAAGAAUUUACUGAUGUUAAUGGAAUCAGAAUGAGACACUGUGAAGAGAAACAAAGGGAGUCAAUGGACAGAUGAGAUACGGAUGGUGAGACCCAUAAACUGGCUUUGAAUACCAGGGCUGCAGGGAACCAAGGGAGGCCUUUAACUAACAACUUGCAAGAAACUGAGGCCAAAUGCCAACAACCUCCGAGAAGCUGAAUCCUGCCAACAGCCAUUUCUACAAAUAAUGAAAAUGAGAGUCAAGGGAAGACAUUUACUCAAGGGCACACAUUUACCAAGUGCUGAAAUCCGAUGUCAAGCCGAGAUAUGUGUAUUGUCGAAACCAAGCUCCUUUCCCUACACUGAAGUUUUCAACUGUAGCUGUUCAUUGUAAUCACCUGAAAAGCAUUAACUAAACUUCGAGAAAUCCUGAUUAAUCUUCCCGGGCACAGCCUGGGCAAUGGGAUUUUUUUAAGGGCUUCCUGGAUGAUUCUAAUAUAGAUUCAAAUUUGAGAACCACUAGACUAUACAUAGACCCUCCCGAACUGCAUUUUUUCCUCAUGGAAUUUAACCACACUCCCAAUUCCUGAAUUUGAAAUUAAGCCACUUGAAUCCCUGUGGAAAAGGACAAAAAUUCACCAAGACUGAAGCAAUUGUUGAAUACAAGCUAUGGGGAGAAAUGUUCUAGGUGAGGAGGAAUCAGAGAGGAGAGAAGCUCUGACCUUGACUUACACUGACUCUGAAUAAAGGAGAUUUUAUUACAGACCAGGAAACCGAUCAGCAGUUCUCCCCACAUCUUAUACGGCUAGACUAUUUACUCACAUUUCACUCGUCCUUGAAUAAUGGCCAUUUUCCUUGAAUGAUGCUGUAUUAGAGUUGGAAAGGGAACCUAGAAUUUCAUUAUUUUUUAUACAAAGAAACUGAAUCUUAGGGGCAGUGCUUUGCUAAAGGCCAUACAGAGAAUUAGUGGCAGAACUGAAUUUAAUCUAAAUAUUUACACUCUUUGCUCAAAUGUCUCGUUAGAGAAUCCUGCCCUGAUUGCUAUGUAUAACAUAGCAGCCACCCUCGAGCACUCUCUAUUCCAUUUACUCUACUUUUUCCCCAUAGCUUUUAUCAUACAUGUUGUUCAAUUAUUUAUUUCUGUCUUUUCCCCUUACCACACUGAAAUGAAAACUGCACAAGAGCAGGAUCUUUACUUAGUUUAUUUGAUGCUGUACCCUUAAUGCCUGGUGGCCUGAAGGGGGCUCUCAGUAAGAGUUAGCUAAUUAAAUGCAGAAUAACUAGUCAAAUAUUCAAAGAUGAACCAUCCUGAGAGUCAAUAAAUUCAGCAUAAAAAGCACAAGAAAGUACAGAAUGGA